AGUAUCGCGUAGGGAUGUAUCGUUGGGUGGGGGAUAGCCUUGGGAAACUGGGGGUAAUACCGCAUGACGCCUGUGGGCCAAAGGCAGUGAUGCCGCCUGACGAGCAGCCUGCGUCCGAUUAGCUAGUUGGUUGGGUAAUGGCUGACCAAGGCUGUGAUCGGUAGCUGGUCUGAGAGGAUGAUCAGCCACACUGGGACUGAGACACGGCCCAG
rnacentral:rRNA from 1 species